AACGCUAGCUACAGGCUUAACCCAUGCNAGUCGAGGGGCAGCAUGAACUUAGCUUGCUAAGUUUGAUGGCGACCGGCGCACGGGUGAGUAACGCGUAUCCANCCUUCCGCUUACUCGGGGAUAGCCUUUCGAAAGAAAGAUUAAUACCCGAUGGUAUGAUGAGAUUGCAUGAUAGCAUCAUUAAAGAUUUAUUGGUAAGCGAUGGGGAUGCGUUCCAUUAGGUAGUAGGCGGGGUAACGGCCCACCUAGCCUACGAUGGAUAGGGGUUCUGAGAGGAAGAUCCCCCACAUUGGAACUGAGACACGGUCCAAACUCCUACGGGAGGCAGCAGUGAGGAAUAUUGGUCAAUGGACGAGAGUCUGAACCAGCCAAGUAGCGUGAAGGAUGAAGGUCCUACGGAUUGUAAACUUCUUUUAUAAGGGAAUAACGGACGCUACGUGUAGCGUUGUGCAUGUACCUUAUGAAUAAGCAUCGGCUAACUCCGUGCCAGCAGCCGCGGUAAUACGGAGGAUGCGAGCGUUAUCCGGAUUUAUUGGGUUUAAAGGGAGCGCAGACGGGAUGUUAAGUCAGCUGUGAAAGUUUGCGGCUCAACCGUAAAAUUGCAGUUGAUACUGGCGUUCUUGAGUGCAGUUGAGGUGUGCGGAAUUCGUGGUGUAGCGGUGAAAUGCUUAGAUAUCACGAAGAACUCCGAUUG
rnacentral:rRNA from 1 species